UACAGAGGUCUCAAGCGUUGUUCGGAUUCAUUGGGCGUAAAGGGUGCGUAGGUGGCGAGGCAAGUCGGAUGUGAAAUCCCGGGGCUUAACCCCGGAACUGCAUUCGAUACUGCCUUGCUCGAGUACUGGAGAGGAGACUGGAAUUUACGGUGUAGCAGUGAAAUGCGUAGAUAUCGGAAGGAACACCAGUGACGAAAGCGGCUUCCUGGUCCAGCACCGACGUUCAGGCACGAAAGCGUGGGGAGCAAACAGG
rnacentral:rRNA from 1 species